CUCUAGAGAGUUCCAGGGAUAUCUCUCUCCAUCCGUCGGGUGUCCCUUCCUCUCCCAGUUCUUUCUCGCUUUUUCUCCUCUCUGCUUUUCUUUGUUACCGUCGGUGUCGGGAAUUCCGCUUCCGCACAAAUAUUUCUUUUGCUGUCAGCUUGCUCAACGGUUCUGUUUGUUUGGUGAGAUGUGUUCCUCUUUCUCCUUUGUUGUGAGUUUCCAUUUGGUAGGCAUCCUUUUCCAGAUUCCUUCGUGGAUUAGAUCCACGCUCCUCUCGUCGAGAUCGUCUUGCUUUUUUUCUGAGAUGGAGAUUGGGACCGAAAAGGCAAGUAUUUUUCUUUGGUAGUUUUGGCAUGUGCAGAUAGAUCAGAAAGUGCUUCUACAGUUUACCUCAUUUAACUCUAUUUUGGAGAUUGAAACUGAAAAGGCAAGUAUUUCUUUUUGGUAAAGUCUUUCGCAAGUGGACAUCUAGUUCCAAAUUUUUUUAAAGGGAUCUGGUUCCAAAUUCAUGCUUGGACCUGCCAGGAUUCUAUUGUUUUUGGCGUAUCCUCUUGCUUUGGUACAUGUAGAUCAGCAAGCAAAUGUUUUUUUAUUUCAUUUAAUUUCAAUGAGUGCAGGUGACGUUCUGUUUGUACUUUAUUGAACUUCAUUAUACUAUUUUCUUUUGGUAAAGUUGUUCGCAUCAAGUGCAUGUUGCAUUCUUUUUAGUUUUUAACGGUUCUGCUUUCAGCUUGCUCUUGGGUGCAUUUAUUUUUUAGCUGUGUUUCCAUUCCUCCAACUGUGUUUUCAUUCUUCCUUUGUCGACCAUUUCGACUUUGUGGACAACUAAUUUCCUUUGGGUGAAAUGAUCUGCACGAAGUUGAGACUUCGCUUUAUUUUGUUUAUGGACGCAUCAAGAUUCCAACACGCCGUUAUUUUUCUUCGCUGGUUUAGUAAUGAGGAAAUCCCUUUUACGGCCCUAAUUUUAGGGUUUAGAGUUUUAACUGAUAUUUUUUUAAAAGUUGUUCCUCUCUGGUCCCAACUCCAUACUAUGGUGUGUAAAUUUGCCGCAUCGCUUUUUUUUUCUGGAAAGCUCUAAAAAUAAGGAAAUUAUUUGCACAGUUUUUUAAUAAAAGAUAGCAUCUUGCACGGUUGCUUUUUAGAGAAAGAAAAGUAACCAAAUUCGGUUUUGUCCAAAUUAGUUUCAAUUUGAUACUUUCUCACGUUUUACUUCAUGUUUUUAUCGUUUGGGUUUACUAAAUUGCUUAGAGUUCAACAUCUUUCCCUCAGAACUCACUUUUUUUGUCUUUGUUCGACUUUCAUAGAAUUAGAUACAAUUUCCUGCUCGUUCCACACAAAUUUCCUCCUCUCAUUGUUUUUAUGUGAGUUUCCUUAGAUCAAUACGUGUAGCCAGGUCAACACAUACAGGUUGUGUUUGUUGCUACGUAAAGAAUGUCAUCUAGGCACGAGGACUACUAUCUCUAAUCAUUGGAGCUUUGUUUGGCAAGGUCAACCAUACCUAAGGGGUACUACAACAAGUUCAUGAUACUUCAAGCCUGGAAUUCCUGAGGCGCAUACCUACUACAACAGGCAAAACAAAAUAAAUUUUGGAUACAGUUCCUUCUAACACUCACUAUUUUUAUACCACAUUUCAAAUCUGCUCCUCUCUAAUCUUAUACCCAUAGUUAGCUAACAGUUUAAUAAACAACAGUCUACUAAGCUAGCAGUAGCAAUAUUUAAACUAAAAUUGUAAAUAAACCUUGUUUUUUACCAUUACCUCUUUAUAUAUUACAUUCAGACCAGUUUGGUCUCCCUCUUCAGACAAUAUUCAAUACUUAUAUUUAUUUUUUAACUAAAACUAAUAGCCACGGUUUCAUUUCGUUUUUUCUAUAAACAAAUCACUGAUAGAUGUUACUGCAAAAGAAAAAUCGCAGCUGACUAGAAUCAGUGUCUACAAAACAGUUCAUUUUUAAACGGUGUUAUAAUUGCUUGUAUUUCUUAGACACUAUUUCAAUUUUUUUAAAUGAUGAUACAUGCUAUCCUCUUUUUCCUAAAGCGGGUUACAGGACAUCCUAUUGUCUUCAAAUUUUUUUAAAUAAAAGUAUUGUUCAUACUACUCAUGCACAACUUCAAUACAAAACAAAUUAAGGUACACACCCUCUCCUUUUUUGAUUGAACUCUUAGGAUACCAUGUUCUCUUUAAAAAACCAAAAAAAUAUUUAGAUGUUGAGCCAAUCGUUCACAUCACACUGUUUACGCCAAAAUAGAAAAUAUAAGAGGAACUUUAACAAAAAAUACUAAAACUAAGUCUUAUCUGAUCAUGGUUGUGACAUCACUUGAAGGUUGCAAAACAAUGACCUCCAACUAAUACAACCCACAACAGCUGAAGAAGAAAUUCAGCUUUCUCAACCACCAAAUUUGGAAGACAAGACCGUUGAAAAGCUGCUCAACAUAGAUCCGGAUAUGUUUCCCGCAGAAGGCUAUAGAUGUAUUGUUACUAUAUCACGCAUCGUGCAAAAUAGCAGAUGGUGGUACCCAUCUUGCUCCAGGUGCCACAAAUCUUCAUCUCAAAUCUCAACUGGAUAUCACUGCACAUCAUGUGGCUGCACAAAUAUUAAGUUUAGAUACAAGCUCAGCUUCAUUGCUACUGAUGGAACAUGCGAAGCAGAGUUCUUUUUUUUGAUAGCAUAGCCAGAAAAAUAGUAGGAGAACCUUAGGGCAACCUUGUUACAGCAGUUACAACUUCUGAGAGUCCCAGCAGCCCUAGCCGCUAUUGUGUGUCUGAAAUUUACUCUUGCAGUUGCCAUCAAUAUGUCAGCCUACUAUGUCAUGAACAGAGUAUUCUCUAUUCUAUCUAUUUUAACAAAUCAUGGAAGACAGACCUUCAUACCAUCUAACAUGCCUAGCCAUCCUCAACAAGAGUUGUAUACACAAGAUGAAGUACCUAGCCUUCCGGUCGGCCACACAAGACUCUCCAGCAACAUCAAUGGCAAAACUAUCUACCUGUAGCAACGAAAGAAACGAGUCUAUUCAACAGGCACGAUGACGUGUUCUAAUAUAUUCAGAUAUGCCACAUGACACAGAGGGUGAUGACAGCGCAUAAGUGAACUCAACAAGCAAGAGAUAUCGUCACCACCAAAAUGGAUAAAACAUAGCCACACUAGCAAAGGCAUACCAGAUCUUACAAACCCCAAAAAGAAAAGCUCCUAAAUCGUCAUCAACUUCGUGAAGGUGUUUGCUUUUUGCGCACCUAUCAGGAGCACCAUCACUUUUGGAUCAUGAAUGCUUUCCUAUAGAUAUGAACCUACUGUUAUACUAUUUGUGGAUAUGUACAUAUUGACUUAACACCUGCAAGCACAUUGUUGCUAAGUGUUGAUGUAUGGUAGUUGAAUGCUACUUAGUAUGUAUUGUAGUCUAAAUCCACUCUACAGCUGGUAUCAACUAUUAUAUAAAAACAACGUCAUAUGCUUAUAUUUGGUUUCCUCCUUA